ACUGUCCUCUUGCCUUCACUGAUCACUCUCCUAAGUUCACUUCCUCAAAAUGAUGAGUCCUGCCCAGUUCCUGUCUCUGCUAAUGCUCUGGAUCCAGGAAACCCACAGUGAUAUUGUGAUGACACAGACUCCACUCUCUUUGUCAGUUGCCAUUGGACAAUCAGCCUCCAUCUCUUGCAAAUCGAGUCAGAGCCUCAAAUAUAGUGAUGGAAAGACAUAUUUGAAUUGGGUAUUUCAGAGUCCUGGCCAGUCUCCAAAGCGCCUAAUCUAUCAGGUGUCUAAACUGGACUCUGGAGUCCCUGACAGGUUCAGUGGCACUGGAUCAGAGACAGAUUUUACACUUAAAAUCAGCAGAGUGGAGGCAGAGGAUUUGGGAGUUUAUUACUGCUGUCAGGUUCAUAUUCUCCUCACACAGUGAUACAGACCCUAACAAAAACAUCCUUGUUUAGGACAGUCCCCUUUGCAAUGUAAUGCGUGACUGGAGAAUAACAGAGCACUCUGUGUCUUUGUGGAAGGGAGUGCAGGGGAACUUGAGUAAUUGCUGAGAGCUCUAGCUAAAUUCAUCUGGCUGGAUGAGUGGUUUGACUAGAUCUCAAGUGCCACUAAUUUCUGGUCCUUCUUGUAACCGCCAUUGUGUUGUCUCAU